rnacentral:lncRNA from 1 species
GAUCAUGCCACGACUUUGGUACUCGGGGCUAUGCUUAUUUUAACCUUCUAUCUGGAUUCACUUCUGUGUUCAAAUACUGGAGAGAAGUUUAUGGUGAUAUAUAUGGGAUAUUUUUUGGAGUAAACCCAAAUCUUGUUGUGUCCGAUCCAGAAUUUAUCCAAGAAGUUUUAAUUAAAAAAUUUUCAAAUUUUACCAACCGAUCUCCGUUUCUAGGAGAUGAAAUCAGUAAUCUUGGAAUUCCGGGUGCCAAAGAUGAUCAUUGGAAAUAUCUACGAACUAUACUAGCUCCGACUUAUAGCUCUCAUCAAAUGAGAG